rnacentral:rRNA from 1 species
GAUGAACGCUGGCGGCGUGCCUAAUACAUGCCAGUCGAGCGAACAGACGAGGAGCUUGCUCCUCUGACGUUAGCGGCGGACGGGUGAGUAACACGUGGAUAACCUACCUAUAAGACUGGGAUAACUACGGGAAACCGGAGCUAAUACCGGAUAACAUGUUGAACCGCAUGGUUCAACAGUGAAAGACGGUCUUGCUGUCACUUAUAGAUGGAUCCGCGCCGCAUUAGCUAGUUGGUAAGGUAACGGCUUACCAAGGCAACGAUGCGUAGCCGACCUGAGAGGGUGGUCGGCCACACUGGAACUGAGACACGGUCCAGACUCCUACGGGAGGCAGCAGUAGGGAAUCUUCCGCAAUGGGCGAAAGCCUGACGGAGCAACGCCGCGUGAGUGAAGAAGGUCUUCGGAUCGUAAAACUCUGUUAUUAGGGAAGAACAAAUGUGUAAGUAACUAUGCACGUCUUGACGGUACCUAAUCAGAAAGCCACGGCUAACUACGUG